GAUGAACGCUAGCUACAGGCUUAACACAUGCAAGUCGAGGGGCAGCAUUUUAGUUUGCUUGCAAACUAAAGAUGGCGACCGGCGCACGGGUGAGUAACACGUAUCCAACCUGCCGAUAACUCGGGGAUAACCCUUCGAAAGAAGGCCUAAUACCCGAUGGCAUAUCCCUUCCGCCUGGUGGGGAUAUUAAAGAACUUCGGUUAUCGAUGGGGAUGCGUUCCAUUAGCUUGUUGGCGGGGUAACGCCCACCAAGGCAUCGAUGGAUAGGGGUUCUGAGAGGAA
rnacentral:rRNA from 1 species